GAUACCCUAUUAUACUAAAGAGAUGAAUAAAUAGGCCAGAUUAUUAGUAGAUAUGUUCUUUAAAUUUGAAGAAUUUGGCGGUGGUUUAGUCUUGUCAGAGGAACCUGUUUUUGAAUCGAUAUACCACGUAGAAUCUUACUUACUUUUGUUAUAUUAGAACAGCUUAUAUACCAUCAUUAUCAGAUAAUUUUAAAAGAAAUAAUUAUUGGAAGUUAUUAUUUUAAGUGAAAUUAGAUCAAGGUGUAGCUUAUAAGUGAGUUAAAAUGGGUUACAAUAAAAUUUAUUUAUAACGUAAUAAUUAAAGAAUAGUUAAUUAUAAAGGAGGAUUUGAUUGUAAUAUGAGUUUAAUAUGCUUGUAAGAUAUAGGCUCUAAAUCAUGUACAU
rnacentral:rRNA from 1 species